rnacentral:rRNA from 1 species
CCUACGGGAGGCAGCAGUAGGGAAUCUUUCACAAUGGGCGAAAGCCUGAUGGAGCAACGCCGCGUGCAGGAUGAAGGCCUUCGGGUUGUAAACUGCUGUUAUAAGCGAGAAAUAUGAUGGUAACUUAUGAAUAAGGAUCGGCUAACUACGUGCCAGCAGCCGCGGUCAUACGUAGGAUCCGAGCAUUAUCCGGAGUGACUGGGUGUAAAGAGUUGCGUAGGUGGCAUAAUAAGUAGCUAGUGAAAUCUGGUGGCUCAACCAUUCAGACUAUUAGCUAAACUGUUAAGCUCGAGACCGUUAGGGGUAACUGGAAUUUCUAGUGUAGGAGUGAAAUCCGUAGAUAUUAGAAGGAACACCAAUAGCGUAGGCAGGUUGCUGGGACGGUUCUGACACUAAGGCACGAAAGCGUAGGGAGCAAACGGGAUUAGAUACCCGAGUAGUC